rnacentral:rRNA from 1 species
AUUAGAUACCCUGGUAGUCCACGCUGUAAACGAUGAUUACUAGGUGUGGGGGGACUGACCCCUUCCGUGCCGCAGUUAACACAAUAAGUAAUCCACCUGGGGAGUACGACCGCAAGGUUGAAACUCAAAGGAAUUGACGGGGGCCCGCACAAGCAGUGGAGUAUGUGGUUUAAUUCGACGCAACGCGAAGAACCUUACCAGGUCUUGACAUCUUCUGCAUAACCUAGAGAUAGGUGAAGUCUUUCGGGACAGAAUGACAGGUGGUGCAUGGUUGUCGUCAGCUCGUGUCGUGAGAUGUUGGGUUAAGUCCCGCAACGAGCGCAACCCUUAUGUUUAGUUGCUACAUUUAGUUGAGCACUCUAGACAGACUGCCGUUGACAAAACGGAGGAAGGUGGGGAUGACGUCAAAUCAUCAUGCCCCUUAUGACCUGGGCUACACACGUACUACAAUGGCUAUUAACAAAGGGAAGCGAAAUCGCGAGAUGGAGCAAAUCCCCAAAAAUAGUCUCAGUUCGGAUUGUAGGCUGAAACUCGCCUAUAUGAAGUCGGAAUUGCUAGUAAUCGUAGAUCAGCAUGCUACGGUGAAUACGUUCCCGGGCCUUGUACACACCGCCCGUCACACCAUGAGAGUUGGCAACACCCGAAGCCAAUGGUCUAACCGCAAGGAGGACGUUGUCGAAGGUGGGGU